ensembl:lncRNA
CGGCUCACUGUGCUGCAUACAAUUGCACACUACGUCGUACGAUUGAGACAAGGAAACUUGGAAUGACUUUUCAUAGGUUUCCCAGAGACUAUGGGUUGAGGAGGAAUUGGAAGUUUGUCGGCUUAGACCUGGUGUCAUUCCAUCAGUGUUAAACUUCCCGGCUCAUCUUGGAAGAGUACGUGCCAGAAAGACCACGACCAAGCAGCCUUGAGAUCUUAGGCAGCGUCUCCCUGAGGUCCCUCUCUAUCUCCCCACACAUCCACCAACCACUGGAACACAUCUCCAAAGUUCUGCAGGGCCAGCUCAGCUUUCCCUCAGAAGAAGUGCCGCCACCUGCCAGAUGAAGGAGCCUUUUGAGAGGCAGCUGGCAUCGUGAUUGGACUGUACUUUGGUCUGUUCCAAUCCAGCUUCAGCUCCAGAGACGGCAGGCGGGACGAGUCAACGGAGGCCGGAUGGACGAAGGCAUGCAGCUGAGUACAAUCCAGAAAACAACAGAGGAGGAGUGCAGUGGCCCAGAGCCAGAACAAACACAGUAGCAUCGUAUGUCUCUUAGAAAACAUCAUAGUAUAGCCUUUGGUAUGAAAAAACGCCAUCAUAUACAUCGUAUAUUGUACAUAUAACAAGUCAAAGGAAAGAGACAUACAUUGUAGAAUUGUAGUAAUUCUGGGCUGACUGAUUUAUUGAUUAUCAGUAUUUUAUUUUUUACUGAUUUACG